rnacentral:rRNA from 1 species
GUCUGCUGGCCAUACCACCCUGAACUCGCCCGAUCUCGUCUGAUCUCGGAAGCUAAGCAGGGUCAGGCCUGGUUAGUACUUGGACGGGAGAAGCAGAAUUUAGGAGCAUACC